GAAAUGCGAUAAUUAAUGUGAAUUGCAGAAUUCAGUGAAUCAUCGAGUCUUUGAACGCACAUUGCGCCCCCUGGUAUUCCGGGGGGCAUGCCUGUCCGAGCGUCAUUGCUGCCCUCAAGCACGGCUUGUGUGUUGGGCUUCCGUCCCUGGCAACGGGGACGGGCCCAAAAGGCAGUGGCGGCACCAUGUCUGGUCCUCGAGCGUAUGGGGCUUUGUCACCCGCUCCCGUAAGUCCAGCUGGCAGCUAGCCUCGCAACCAAUCUUUUUAACCAGGUUGACCUCGGAUCAGGUAGGGAUACCCGCUGAACUUAAGC
rnacentral:misc_RNA from 1 species